CCAAACUUGGUCAUUUAGAGGAAGUAAAAGUCGUAACAAGGUCUCCGUAGGUGAACCUGCGGAGGGAUCAUUACCAGAGAUGGCGGGCCCCGGGCCCCCGUCCCCAACCCUUUUGUUGACCAACACCAUUUUGCCUCGGGGGUGGAGCGUCUCCGGAUCGCCGCCCCCGGAGGACCACCGAACGCUGUCUCUGUACGUCGGAGUUUUGAUUGAAUAUAUGAAAACUUUCAACAACGGAUCUCUUGGUUCUGGCAUCGAUGAAGAACGCAGC
rnacentral:misc_RNA from 1 species